AAGACCACUUCCUUCUCAACGGCGCUGAUUCUGGUCUGCUCCGUGAAGCGGAAGAAUUAUGAAUCAAAUCAAAUGUUAUUGGUCACAUACAUAUUUUAUUGCUGGUGUAGCGAAAUGCUUGUAAUGCACUGACUACUGCGGAGGUUGCAUUGUUGAAAAUGCUGCAUGGACACUGCAGACAUCGGAUUGAACGUACACCAGGUUUUUCUGGUUCGCUGCACGGAUAGCGCUGCUGUAAACAGUCUGGUAUUUUAUAGGCGUCCAUUACUGGGCCUCAGACAUUUAAACUAUCUGGACUCUCGAAGAGGACGUUGUUUCAAGUGGAUAUCGGGUAGAGUUAGACGAUAACAGACAACAGGAUUCUUGGUGAAUAAGAAACGCUGAAGAAAGAAUAGCUUCCACGAUGAAUCGGGACAGAGCUAGUCCGUCCCCCUCCACCCUGCCGGAGUCCCCUGGUCACAACUCUCCUGGUAGCUCCUUACUGCUGGGUCUGAAGAGGUUGUCUGUGUGGCUGGUCGACUGCAGGAAAACACCAGGGCAGAGUGGAACUGUGAAAGGAGGACACGAGGAGGGAGAUGAAGAUUUGAUUUCAUCAAGUAAGAACAAUGUGGUGUGUGGAUGAGAUUACAAAUCUGAUUCUGCAUUUCUGUUAAUUCAUUGAUAAACAGUAAACACUCAGU